UGAGGAGCUCAAUGUCUAAUGGAAUGCAUU
rnacentral:piRNA from 1 species